AGAUGCUAAUGAGAUGACACGCGCGGAUACGCAACGUGAGCUGGAUGAAAUAGUCCUUGCGCGACCCUUCUUUCUUUGCUCUACUGUGAUGGGUGGAUGUGUGUUGGAACCAUGAAGUCUUAUUUGAAUGGCUGGAGGUUUCAUGUUUGCAGUAGAUGCAGACUCCCGUGCUUGCUGUCUUGAUCCUGUCCAAUGCCCAAGAUGUCAGGGAGGACCAGAGGCUGAUGCUGGACCUGAGGGUACACUUUUCCUGCCACUACUAGUGGUGGUGAGCUAACGGAGGAGCGGCGCUGAAGGAGGAGCCUGGAGAAGGUCCCUCCGGACCCUGUUAUGAGUAUCCACUAAUGGAGCUGGUGACCACUAGGAUCUGAUGGGAGGACUGCGCUGGACCUGUAACAUCUUGGAGACGCUGUGGAGAUCCUGAGUUUGGUUUGGGGGAGACGUCCUUGAGCCGGGGCCUCCCUGUAUCCUGACGUCCUUCUUGCCAGUCUCCUCACAGGAUUCAUCUGAUCAUCCUGGAGGUUCUUCAGAAGGACCAACGAGUGAAGAGCCAGCUGGAGUCAUCGUUGGACUGCAGAAUCAUCUCUUCCAUGCACACACACCUGUCUGUGUGUGGAGGACACCACCUCUUCCAAUCUAUUCUCUCUCCUCCACCUGUCUGUGUGUGGAGGACACCACCUCUUCCAAUCUAUUCUCUCUCCUCCACCUGUCUGUGUGUGGAGGACACCACCUCUUCCAAUCUAUUCUCUCUCCUCCACCUGUCUGUGUGUGGAGGACACCACCUCUUCCAAUCUAUUCUCUCUCCUCCACCUGUCUGUGUGUGGAGGACACCACCUCUUCCAAUCUAUUCUCUCUCCUCCACCUGUCUGUGUGUGGAGGACACCACCUCUUCCAAUCUAUUCUCUCUCCUCCACCUGUCUGUGUGUGGAGGACACCACCUCUUCCAAUCUAUUCUCUCUCCUCCACCUGUCUGUGUGUGGAGGACACCACCUCUUCCAAUCUUGGGGGUCAGAGUUCAAAGUUAGGGCUUAGGGUUUAGUUUGAGGGCUUGAGCUGGUCAGGUAGGGCUGCUUUCACCACUAACUUCUUCACUUGCUUUAAAAAUUGUUUGGACGGCCGUCCCAAAAUGUGCACUUCAUUUUUUUUUUAACAAAUUGUACGAAAUGAAAUGUAUGAUUGCUUUUUAAAAUGCAUAUUUGUGUUUUUAAAAUAAAAACAGCC